AGGGUUACCGUCGUUUGGUAUGGUGAAGGUGACGGCGAAGUUGUGGAGGAUGAGUCGUUUGGCGAGCUCUGCGAGAGGGAUGAUAUGGCCAAUCCCUGGACUGGGUAGAAGGAUAACAUGGGGAAGAGCUUGCUGGUCAGCAGUUGCUUCCAUGGUCUG